rnacentral:rRNA from 1 species
CCUACGGGUGGCAGCAGUGAGGAAUAUUGGUCAAUGGCCGCAGGGCUGAACCAGCCAAGUCGCGUGAGGGAUGACGGUCCUCUGGAUUGUAAACCUCUUUUGUCAGGGAGCAAAGGGCGCCACGUGUGGCGUUUUGCGAGUACCUGAAGAAAAAGCAUCGGCAAACUCCGUGCCAGCGGCGGCGGUAAUACGGAGGAUGCGGGCGUUAUCCGGAUUUAUUGGGGUUAAGGGGUGCGCAGGCGGAAUGCCAAGUCAGCGGGAAAAUUUCGGGGCUCAACCCCGUCGUGCCGUUGGAACUGGGGGGCUUGAGUGCGGGAGAAGCAUGCGGAAUGCCUGGUGUAGCGGUGAAAUGCAUAGAUAUCAGGAAGAACACCGAUGGCGAAGGCAGCCUGCUGGCGUUCAACUGACGUUGAUGCCCGAAAGCGUGGGUAGCGAACAGGAUUAGAUACCCGGGUAGUC